GCAAGUGUCGUAAAGAAGAGUUACUUCGCACUCUUAAUGCCCGUGUCGCAGGUUCGAGCCCUGCCCCAUGUA
rnacentral:tRNA from 1 species